GUCGCAAUCCCUCCAGGGAUGAGCAGCGAC
rfam:Marinactinospora thermotolerans DSM 45154 genome assembly, contig: G546DRAFT_scaffold00025.25